UCCAAGUGAUGACAACUCUUGUCCAGUUCUGCUACUGACGUUGAGCGAUGACAACGGUUAAUCUGAAA